GGAUGAUUUGGCGCUAGAUGGCGAUGAAGGGGCGCGGUAAGCUGCGAUAAGCGCGGGGGAGUUGCAAACAAACUUUGAUCCCGCGAUUUCCGAAUGGGGCAACCUGCCGGGGAGUAAUCCCCGGGAUGGGAAACUGAAUACAUAGGUUUCUCAGGCCAGACGGGGGGAAUUGAAACAUCUCAGUACCUCCAGGAAGAGAAAGAAAUUCGAUUUCCCUAGUAGCGGCGAGCGAAAGGGAAUCAGCCCAAACCGUAAGCAUGUCAAGUCUGCAAGCGUUGUGUUUACGGGGUUACGAGGUGAGGCCGUCGAUCAUUGCAGUGAUCGAGGGAAGUUACAAAACUGUUCUGUAGUCAAAAUGCCUGGAAUGGCAUACCCAAGAGAGUGAUAGUCUCGUAGACGGCACGGAACAGACUUCUUUGGUCUCAAUCUCAAGUAUUGCCUGAUAAGUGGAACCAGGCGAGAAGUCGGGAGAACCAUCUCCUAAAGGCUAAAAUACAAGCUAGCGACCGAUAGUGAACAAGUACCGCAGGG
rnacentral:rRNA from 1 species